CCUACGGGGGGCAGCAGUGAGGAAUAUUGGUCAAUGGCCGAGAGGCUGAACCAGCCAAGUCGCGUGAGGGAAGAAUGUCCUAUGGAUUGUAAACCUCUUUUGUCAGGGAGCAAAGUCACCCACGUGUGGGUGUUGGAGAGUACCUGAAGAAAAAGCAUCGGCUAACUCCGUGCCAGCAGCCGCGGUAAUACGGAGGAUGCGAGCGUUAUCCGGAUUUAUUGGGUUUAAAGGGUGCGUAGGCGGGUUAUCAAGUCAGCGGUAAAAUCGUGGAGCUCAACUCCAUCCAGCCGUUGAAACUGAUGAUCUUGAGUGGGCGAGAAGUAUGCGGAAUGCGUGGUGUAGCGGUGAAAUGCAUAGAUAUCACGCAGAACUCCGAUUGCGAAGGCGGGUUCCUGGACAUUAACUGACGCUGAGGCACGAAGGCCAGGGGAGCGAAAGGGAUUAGAUACCCGGGUAGUC
rnacentral:rRNA from 1 species